ACAAUCCUGUAACUGCCGCCACAUUCUAGAUUUCUAUGUAACAGGAUUGUCUGGGGAUCUCCCAUUAUAAUACAAGUGCUAUAGACCAGUGGCUCCCAAACCAGUCCUCGUGGCCUACCAACAAUCCAGGAUUUCUGUAUUUCCCUGUUUUGUUCCAGUGGAGAUAAUGACAAAUCCUGGACUGUUGGUCCAGGAUGAAUGAAUCGGGACUGUAUACUAAAUGGCCAUUCAAAGCAAAAAUAACUUUCCUGUGGAAAGCUGGGCUCCAUUUAUUCUUCAGAAGGUUUUUAAUUUCUUUUUUAAUGUUUUGUUGAAUGAAGCUGCGGGUUCCAUACUUUAAUAGUGGGUAAAAUAUAGAUAGAUCAAUAUAGAGAUAAUUGAUAGAACGAUGGGUA